AUAUUUACCUUGCAGGGGAGAUACCAUGAUCAAGAAGGUGGUUCACCCAGGGCGACGCUUAGCCAUUGUACUCCGGUCACGCUGACCUCUGCCAGCGCAGAGAGACGGAAAGUCACUUUCCACAAUGUUUUCAUUCAGUGUUCUACGCUGGUGGAAUCACCUU
rnacentral:snRNA from 1 species